AUCGCUUCUCGGCCUUUUGGCUAAGAUCAAGUGUAGUAUCUGUUCUUAUCAGUUUAAUAUUCCUCAAUUUUAAACACAAACAGUUACUCUUGAAGGCCAAUGUUACCUACUGGAUUCUCCCCUGCAUGUGGAAAUUGUGCUGAAUCAGUAGUAUAGUAGCUGUUUGGUUGUUGGUUUUUCUAAAAAUAGUUGUGCCUCU